UUGUGGGGCUCAAGGGGCAGCAAGGGAUGGGGCUGAGGGGGGGCUGUGGGGGGACCCCCCCCGGUUUGGGGUGCGUGAGGAUGGCUGAGACACCGCGAUCUCAUCCCCUAAAUGCAUCAAAAAGGCUCCAAGGAGGGCCUGGAGAAAAGGGAUGGGGAGACCUCGGGGGGAGCAGGGAGCGGUGCGGGGGCACCGUGGGCACGUGGGGGUGGGCACUGACCCCGUUGGCCCCCCCAAAAUCCAGCGAGGUCCCCCCAAAACGCCGCGUCCUGGAGGUGCACCGGGAGAGGACCGGGACGGGGCCCCUCGUGCCGUGCUCGGUAACCCCACAGGACCCCCGCAGAGUGGGGGUCACCCCUUGGGACCCCCCCCUCCCCGGGACCACCCACGGGGGGGUCUCCAGAUCCACCAAGCAGGACGGACGGAUGGAUGGACAGACAGACAGAUGGAUGGAGCACGACCAAGAGGAAAGGCCAGUCCAUCAAACGAGGCUGCAGCGUGCUGGGACCGGCGGCGCUGCUGGGAACGAAUCCUUUCCGGGGAAGAGAUAGCGACAACACGUGCCUGGCUGGUGGAAAGCUGCUCCCGUCUCCCUCCUGCAGCUGGUUGGUGUUUUUUUUUUCUUGCCUGCCACGUUUCGGUGAUAAAGCACGAUGAAUAAAAUAUCAGGCACUGCAGCGUGGUCGCUACGAAGCUCCCUCGCUGCCCCU